GGUAUUUUGACUAUACAAAGGUAUUGAAAUAAGACUUUAAUUGAGUGCUAAGAGAAUGGAAUUUCAUAAAAUUUCUUUUUUAAUUUUAAAAAUUGAAAUUAAUUUUAUAUGUGAAGAAACAAUAAUAAAAAUUAAGGACAAGAAGACCCUAAGAAUUUUAAAAAUUUUAAUAAAUACUGUAUUUUAUUAAAAUUUUUUAAUUGGGGCGAUUAUUAAAUAUUAAAAACUUUAAUUUUUUUAAAAAAGAACCAAUAAUAUUGGUUAUUUGAAAAAAUACUCUAGGGAUAACAGCGUAAUAAUUUUUGAUAGUUCUUAUAGACAAAAUAGUUUGCGACCUCGAUGUUGGAUUAGGAUUCUUUUUUAAUGAAGAAGUUAAAAAAAGAAGUUUGUUCAACUUUUAAAAUCCU
rnacentral:rRNA from 1 species